rnacentral:rRNA from 1 species
GACGUAGGGCGCAAGCGUUGUUCGGAUUCAUUGGGCGUAAAGGGUGUGUAGGUGGCGCGCUAAGUCGGGUGUGAAAUUUCGGAGCUUAACUCCGAAACUGCAUUCGAUACUGGCGUGCUUGAGGACUGGAGAGGAGACUGGAAUUCAUGGUGUAGCAGUGAAAUGCGUAGAGAUCAUGAGGAAGACCAGUGGCGAAGGCGGGUCUCUGGACAGUUCCUGACACUGAGACACGAAGGCCAGGGGAGCAAACGGG